rnacentral:rRNA from 1 species
CCUACGGGAGGCAGCAGUGGGGAAUUUUGCGCAAUGGGGGAAACCCUGACGCAGCAACGCCGCGUGGAGGAUGAAAUCCCUUGGGAUGUAAACUCCUUUCGAUAGGGAAGAUUAUGACGGUACCUAUAGAAGAAGCCCCGGCUAACUUCGUGCCAGCAGCCGCGGUAAU